rnacentral:rRNA from 1 species
AUUGAACGCUGGCGGCAGGCCUAACACAUGCAAGUCGAACGGUAGCACAAAGGAACUUGCUCCUUGGGUGACGAGUGGCGGACGGGUGAGUAAUGUCUGGGAAACUGCCCGAUGGAGGGGGAUAACUACUGGAAACGGUAGCUAAUACCGCAUAACGUCUUCGGACCAAAGAGGGGGACCUUCGGGCCUCUUGCCAUCGGAUGUGCCCAGAUGGGAUUAGCUAGUAGGUGGGGUAACGGCUCACCUAGGCGACGAUCCCUAGCUGGUCUGAGGGGAUGACCAGCCACACGGGAACUGAGACACGGUCCAGACUCCUACGGGAGGCAGCAGUGGGGAAUAUUGCACAAUGGGCGCAAGCCUGAUGCAGCCAUGCCGCGUGUAUGAAGAAGGCCUUCGGGUUGUAAAGUACUUUCAGCGGGGAGGAAGGCGAUAAGGUUAAUAACCUUGUCGAUUGACGUUACCCGCAGAAGAAGCACCGGCUAACUCCGUGCCAGCCGCCGCCGUAA